UUUUAUGGAUGAGCAAAGAAAGUGGUUUCUCAAGAUGGAAUCUACUCCCAGUGAAGAUGCAGUGAUGA
rnacentral:pre_miRNA from 1 species